rnacentral:rRNA from 1 species
UGCAGUCGUACGAGAGUUUUUAACUCAAGUGGCGGACGGGUGAGUAACACGUAAGAAUUUACCUUUAGGAGGGGGAUAACAGCGUAUCAAUAGAUAUUACGGAAACGGCUGCUAAUACCCCAUAUGCUUUUGAGUGAAAUAGAUUUAUCUGCCUAAAGAGAAGCUCGCGGCUGAUUAGCUUGUUGGUAAGGUAAUGGCUUACCAAGGCGACGAUCAGUAUCUGGUUUGAGAGGACGAUCAGACACACUGGAACUGAGACACGGUCCAGACUCCUACGGGAGGCAGCAGUGGGGAAUUUUCCGCAAUGGGCGAAAGCCUGACGGAGCAAUACCGCGUGAGGGAAGACGGCCUAUGGGUUGUAAACCUCUUUUUUUCAGGGAGGAAUUCAAUGACGUGUACCUGAGGAAUAAGCAUCGGCUAACUCCGUGCCAGCAGCCGCGGUAAUACG